ensembl:lncRNA
CACCAAACAAGAGAAGAGAAGAGAAGAGAAGAGAAGAGAAGAGAAGAGAAGAGAAGAGAAGAGAAGAGAAGAGAAGAGAAGAGAAGAGAAGAGAAGAGAAGAGAAGAGAAGAGAAGAGAAGAGAAGAGAAGAGAAGAGAAGAGAAGAGAAGAGGGAAAAAAAAAGAAAAGAAUCAGCUCCACCUGAGUUGUUCAGUCUCUCAGGUUACCUUCUCUAAAUAAGACUCCUCCUGGGUCAGCUGUCAGUGGAUGAUGUGUCUUUAAUGUGCAGUGGGGCAUGGAACAGGAACCCUGUUGAAUGGACUUGACUGGUCGGUGAUGGCAGGAUCAGGUGUCGCUCUGAGGCUGCAUGAGUUCAGAGAGCCUCAGGACUCUAAAGAGCUCGACAGACCAACUAAACUAACCCCGAAAGCCGUUGGUUUGUUGCAGGAUGUGGAUGCUUUACUUGGACUUGGCGGGCUUCUCGGUCUUCUUGGGCAGCAGCACAGCCUGGAUGUUGGGCAGCACGCCGCCCUGAGCGAUCGUCACUCCGCCCAGCAGCUUGUUGAGCUCCUCGUCGUUGCUUCUUUUAAAUCACACCUGCACAUCAAAUCAGAUGUCAAACUGAC